GUUGUAUAUGCGUAUAGCUAUAGGAUAUAUACAAGAAACACUCCAUCUGGAGGUGGCAAAACAUAAUACAAAUAUUUAAAAAUAAAUAUAAAUGUAAGCCCCAUGCAGAUUGUAUUCGUAAGAUCUAAAUGUAACCGAACUGCGCGGCUAUUGCAAGUGGGGAGACAUGUAAAUGUCCUUAUUGUUUACAUAGUUUGUUCUUAAGAAAGAGAUCACACAUAUUGUACGUACAAACGUGUGUACUUGAAGCUGGAUUUGGGGCCGUACUUAAAUCUUAAAGACAAAAACUCGCGCAUUAUCAAAUGAAUAUUUAAUGUUAAACUUUGAGCGACAUUUUUGGACUCUGUGUUUGUUGGUUAAGCGAAAUCCCACAGAGCAAAUCCUACACUUAAGCAAUCCAAGUAUCAUUAUUUACAAGAUAUUUAUUAUGCAUAAGAUAUCAGCAUUUUACAGGUAAUUCGCAUUACGCAUUAUGAGCAUUUACUUCUAACCACAACAUACACGAACAUGUACCAGAAUAUGUACUCGAACUCGUACUCGUAUAUGGUAUGUGACCGGCACUCGAGACUCGUAACCAACCAGAAUUGAAUGCCUGUAGAAUCGUUGCUGUUUUGAUUUGUAGUUGCUUGCUUUCGAAACUAAAACUAAAACUAAAACUAAAACUAAAACUAAAUUCGGUAGCAGCACGCUUGAACAGUUUGUAGUGCUAACUGAGUCCAGAGUCCAGAGUCCAGAGCAGCCAACUACAUUUUCAUAAUGCGACCUUCUUCUAUUUGCAGCAUGAUGGUUUUUUGCAGAGUGUCGGCUGCCGAUCAAUCGGAGGAGGACUACGAGCUUACGCAUUUGUUCUAUCCGCUUAGAAGGAUAUAGAAAGACAGAGCCCU
rnacentral:lncRNA from 1 species